AUGAGAAGAGGAUGGCUGCAUCAAAGCUCCCAAACAAAAGUUUCACUUUGAGUCAAGUUCUGGAUAUGUUGGAUCUAGGUGACUGCUCAGACAAGGAACAACGUUAUCAGUGAUGAUGAUCUACCCCUCACCACGCCACACUCUCCUUCCUGAGACUAGGUUGGGUCAUGGACCCAGUGUCAUUCUUGGUGUUGCAGAGCAAUCUCAGGUGCCUCAAGGUUGCAAGUUCCUUCAUGACAACCUCUUCACUUCGCUUGCACUCCGAUGAAAUUACAUAAGGAGGAUAUGGGAGCUCUGGAACUAUGAGGCAAAAUCGUCUGUUUGAUGUCCCAUUCAAGCCACAGAAGGACUUCAUGAAGUUACCCCGGGAACCUCUGAGGUUCUGACCCAAGGAGACAAGUUGCUGGUCCUUUAGAAAGACAAUAACAUUGUCACAGUGGCAACAAACAUGGAGGAGAAAUACAGUGAGACCUCUGUCAAGAGAUGGAACAAGGAGUGACGUGCCUUUUGACAAAGUCCCACAACCAAAAUGUAUCAACCGAUACAAUGAGCACAUGGGUGGUGUUGAACUUCACAACCUACAGGUUUCAAGAUACCAUAUCUCCAUCAGGUCUAAGAAGUGGUGGUGGCCCAUCUUUGCAUGGUCUCAACAAUGCACUCGUAAAAAGCCAUUUAUUUUACAGAGAUGUUAUGGGAGGAACCAUCAACCUGCUCACCUUCUCAUGGAUAGUGGCACAGUCUCUUAUGCAAAGGUUUGGCAUGAAACCACGGAAGGAGAUCUCUACUGGCUGCUACUGUUGAAGAUCAGGCAAGAUAUGACAAAGCUUCUUACUGGCCAAUCAACACGAUGCGCCGGUUCCAUAGAGGUCGUCAUUGUGACAAACGCACUACCUACGCAUGUGAGAAAUGCAAAGCGCCACUGCACAUUGAGUGCUUCAAGAUAUACCACGGACAGUAGAAAAGGAGAUAAGAGCGAAUGAAAAAGGGCUGAAAAAGACAAUAAAAAAAUUUAAGUCACUAAAGGGUGAGGAGAAGCAGUACAACGGACUCUAGGUAGAAAAUAAAAGUUGACGAAAAAGACAAUCAAAAUGACUGAAAUGUUUUUGGAAAAGAGGAUCAAUUGAUUCAAGACAUACUGUAUGACAGUAGGUCUGACUGAUCGUAGUUCAAAAUAGUGAUGCACAAACUAAUCGUGCACUUGGUUCUGAAGCCUACCUCUAUA
rnacentral:lncRNA from 1 species